rnacentral:lncRNA from 1 species
UCCAUAAUCAUGUUCUUGGGCUCUGCUUUGCCAUGUGCGUACCAAGGUGCCUGAAACCCCAAACUUAUUAUCUCCCAAAUAAUUACCAACCAAACAGGAAGACGACGAAGGAUUCCAAUAGCUAAAUUAAUGUACAAGCAAGCAUUAAUAGCAAUACUUCAACACGAGAAAUUGGAGAUUAAAAAGAGGAGUGAUAAUAUGUAGUAUCAUUUACCUCAGACUGAAGCUUGGUUAAGAAGAGUGCAGUCACCAAUUAAGCUUGGUUCCUCGUAGCAGCUAGAAAUCACUUCAUCAAUCGGUGGCACAUCACACUUUUUUUUAACAUCACUCCACUAUGGCACUCCUUCAAAGAAUUAUUAUGUCUGGACCACAACGCCAGCGAAACCCAUCCUGCCCAGCAACCGUGAGAUGAAGUGAGUAGUUAAGUAAAGAUAAAUCAAGGAAUGAGAGUAUAUGCCGACAUCUGUGCUCUGUAGCGAGGCCAGUCUCCAUCAUAGAGGUCGCACACUCUGUGGAGCCCGUUACCACGUCAAGCACUUAGCAUGUGGUGUCGUUGGCCUGUCCGGGCGUCCUACGAAUGUCGACUCAACGUAGGAAAAAAACGGACCACUAAACCCCCGAUACAUGGGCAGCAAAGAACACGUCAAGAUCAAGCGAAAACCAAUAAGAUCAUAUCACGAUGAGGAGAGGCUGUGCCACUACCUUGUCAGGUUAUAUGUCAACGA